GCUGGCGGCAUGCCUAACACAUGCAAGUCGAACGGCAGCGCGGGGAGCUUGCUCCCUGGCGGCGAGUGGCGAACGGGUGAGUAAUGCUUGGGAAUCUGCCCUGUAGUGGGGGACAACCCGGGGAAACUCGGGCUAAUACCGCAUACGUCCUACGGGAGAAAGCGGGGGAUCUUCGGACCUCGCGCUAUAGGAUGAGCCCAAGUCGGAUUAGCUAGUUGGUGGGGUAAAAGCCUACCAAGGCAACGAUCCGUAGCUGGUCUGAGAGGACGAUCAGCCACACUGGGACUGAGACACGG
rnacentral:rRNA from 1 species